CUUUUUUUUGUAUAUUUUCUUGUUCAAUAUUCGUUUUUGAUAUUACAAUCAGUGCUCAAGAGGAUAACGCCUCUCCAGGAGAUCAAGAUCACGCUUCACAGCUACAAUUUUUUGGUGUAUUUUGGGGAAAAUCCACGGUGGCUCCAAAGCCAAGAAUAUCCUCUACAGUCUUCAGUUUCCUUUAUCUUCUGAAAAUCUUAUGAUGUUUUAGAAGCUAAGAAUGCUUUAGCAUGUUAUAGAUUCAAACAAUUAAUUAUAUAACUAAUAUAAUUAUUAAUUAUGUGACAAAUAAUACGAGCUGAUUUUCGUGAUCUCGGUUAGGCGUUUAUAUAGAUGGUCAUAUCCAUUAGAAUAAUGAAAAAUAAAUAAUACGUAGUUUUUACGUACGGGUAACUAAUUUGUAAGCGUAUGGAAAAUAUUUCAUUCGAAUUUGUACAUUUUUCGUACAAAGAUAUUUUAGAAAGUCUAGGAAUAAUUAUUUCUUCUAUAAUGAUUAUAUCUGUAAAUAAGAGGGUUGC